ensembl:snoRNA Gm23176 small nucleolar RNA SNORA17
UCUGCCCCUUGCAGCACUGUAGGCGUGGCUGCUGUGUCACAUGUGCGUCAAUAGGUGGCAGAGAGGAGAGAGGCUAUGUCUAUGCAGGGUUCUGAUCUAUGAACAUCUGACUGAUUAGUAGCUUAACAUC